AGCGUGGAGCGAAAAAGCAGUCAUCACACACAAACAUCACGUAGAUAUGGCAGCAGGGUCAUGUGACCGCGCCGCCCCACCGCCGCACGCGUGAUUCUCCCCCAUGUGCUCGCUCUAUUUUAAUUAAUUCAACCCCUCGCCGUGUGACAAAGCAGACGCGUGCGCGAGCCAGACUGCCAGAGCCAAGAGCAAAGCAGAGGAACAGCCGUGUUUGCGUUCGGCCUGCGAGAAAUAUUUAUUAUCUGCCGAAAUUUGACAGUCGCAUAUUGUGAUAUAGAGGCCGGGGGCUGGAGAUCCUGCAACGCUAGUCAGCCAAAUUUGCUUUCAAGACUGAAAUUAUUUUCAAGCAGAUAAGAAAAUGUUGCCCGUCCAUCACAUCACCCACGGCGAGUGUCCAGCAGGGCAGCGGCAACGCGCCCACGAGGUGCUGCAGCGGUUGCGAAGCGACAAGGAGCACGUACAAGAGAUGAUCGCGCGCGACCAUAGCGGCACCGGCAGCUACUUCAGUCCGGACGAUGCCAUGCUGAUCGCGGUGGCCUUCCUCGGCACACCCCUGUUCGCCAAGGGCAACAGCCCCCUGUGCGCCAAGGUGGCCAACGAACGUUGAGCUGCUUGUCUUAUUAAUGUCAAGCGAGAAGAGGGAAAUGAGACAGAGAGGAGCGUGUGCCAAAGCGUUUUUAGUCAACACGUGACGAUUGCUAGUCUGCAGAUGCAUAAUAAGUAGUUAUAAAUAUACCUCUUUUAAAUGUGAGCUUACGUGAGAUUCGUUUAUUCGCCAAAGCGUUGUUUUAUUUUAAUUAGCACGUUUAUUUGCCCGUCUCCGUGCGCGCGUAACGAUCGUUUUGCAUUUUUAUCAGCGCGUUGCAUGCACACACACACACACACACACUCACGGCGCGCGCAUAUUUUAACCCGACGCUCACCGCAGAGAUAACGCAGGCUGGAUUAUCCGCGGGAAUAUAAUAGCCGCUGGUUGAUGAUGUCGCUAUCUCGGGCGUGCACUCGCUGCUGAUUUCAAUGCAGGAAUCAUCCAACUUAUGUUGCAAUGCAAUUAUUUUCAAAGUGUAUAUGAGUGCACACAUUUCAAAAAUGUUCACCUUGCUUCAAUGCAAGAAUGCAUUUAUAUUAAUCUCGGGCUCUGGAUUUCUAGUUGGAAACUUCAAUGCUUGCUCUUGACGCUGGAUUUUUGAUCCAAUUAAGUAUAUUAUAUUAAUCUGUAUAAAGGCAAUUCAAAAAUAUGUGGAAGUAUAAUAAAAUGUCAACAAAUAAUUAUUGUUUCUUAAAA